GGGAAAUGAUGAGUGGUCAAAACUCGCCCAUUGUAUGCGAGAAUUGGGUGUCCAGCCUAAGCCUGGUUACGACAAUAUGGGCACUCCCUUUUUUAUUACCGAUCUUAUCCC